UCCAGAGGGGUUAGCACAAUACCUGGUAUACAGUAGCUUCGCAAUACAUACUGGGUGGAUGAUUGACAGUUUCAACAUGAUUCUGUACAGAACUGAAUUGCCUGUCUCCAGGACCAGAUGUGAGAACAAAGAAGCCAUAAAAUGUGCUAGACGUAGCGUCAUGUAGAGCAAAAACCAGCCCAUGUCCCUGAUGUAUGGACAGUGUUAAGCAUGUCUUCUUAAUCAUCAACAUGACCUAGAAUAAAGACAUAUGUGAAUUCCCCCCACUCCAGUCCUGGCGCGGAAGCCGUGUGUACCAUGCUCUUCAUAGCCCCAGUCAACUGAAAGAGCAUGGCCAGGCUGCCUUCCCUGUCUACGUUGUGAGAAGGCACAAAAGGAUGGAUGUGAGAGUGGUCUCAAGAGUACAAGUGCUAUAUGUC